AGGAUGAACGCUGGCGGCGUGCCUAAUACAUGCAAGUCGAGCGGUAAGGCUACUUCGGUAGUACACGAGCGGCGGACGGCUGAGUAACACGUAGGAACGUACCCCAAAGUGAGGCAUAAGCACCAGAAAUGGUGUCUAAUACCGCAUGUGAUCUUCGGAUUAAAGCUUCGGCGCUUUGGGAACGGCCUGCGCAUGAUUAGCUUGUUGGUGAGGUAAUAGCUCACCAAGGCGACGAUCAUUAGCUGGUCUGAGAGGAUGACCAGCCAGACUGGGACUGAGAACGGCCCAGACUCCUACGGGAGGCAGCAGUAGGGAAUUUUCCACAAUGGGCGAAAGCCUGAUGGAGCAACGCCGCGUGCAGGAUGAAGGCUCUCGGGUCGUAAACUGCUUUUAUAUGUGAAGAUUAUGACGGUAGCAUAUGAAUAAGGAUCGGCUAACUCCGUGCCAGCAGCCGC
rnacentral:rRNA from 1 species